CGCGCCAUGGUCUCGCGGACGACCGCCUCGUAGAGCGAGGCCUGUUCCCGGGUGAGGGAGACGGGAUGGUCCGACUCCGUCUUGGGCGGC
rnacentral:tRNA from 1 species